UACGAAGGGGGCUAGCGUUGCUCGGAAUCACUGGGCGUAAAGCGCACGUAGGCGGAUUGUUAAGUCAGGGGUGAAAUCCUGGAGCUCAACUCCAGAACUGCCUUUGAUACUGGCGAUCUUGAGUCCGGGAGAGGUGAGUGGAAUUCCUAGUGUAGAGGUGAAAUUCGUAGAUAUUCGCAAGAACACCAGUGGCGAAGGCGGGUCUCUGGACAGUUCCUGACGCUGAGGCACGAAGGCCAGGGGAGCAAACGGG
rnacentral:rRNA from 1 species